AAUCACUGAACUUUGCAAAAGGUUUCCCAGGAGCCACUGAAUUUCCCAAGGGUCACUGAAUUCAGUGACCCCUGGAAAAUCUUUUGCAAAGUUCAGUGAC
rnacentral:miRNA from 1 species